rnacentral:rRNA from 1 species
CCCUUAGAUGUUCUGGGCCGCACGCGCGCUACACUGAUGCAUUCAACAAGCCUAGCCUUGACCGAGAGGUCCGGGUAAUCUUUGAAACCGCAUCGUGAUGGGGCUAGAUUAUUGCAAUUAUUAAUCUUCAACGAGGAAUGCCUAGUAAGCGUGAUUCAUCAAAUCGCGUUGAUUACGUCCCUGCCCUUUGUACACACCGCCCGUCGCUCCUACCGAUUGAAUGUGUUGGUGAGGAGCUCGGAUUGGCAGCAGUUGGUGGUUCGCCACCGGCUAUUGCUGAGAAGUCCUCCAAACCGCCCCAUUUAGAGGAAGGAGAANUCGUANCA